rnacentral:rRNA from 1 species
GCACAAGCGGUGGAUGAUGUGGUUUAAUUCGAUGCAACGCGAAAAACCUUACCCACCUUUGACAUGGCAGGAAUCCUGAAGAGAUUUGGGAGUGCUCGAAAGAGAACCUGCACACAGGUGCUGCAUGGCUGUCGUCAGCUCGUGUCGUGAGAUGUUGGGUUAAGUCCCGCAACGAGCGCAACCCUUGCCAUUAGUUGCUACGAAAGGGCACUCUAAUGGGACUGCCGGUGACAAACCGGAGGAAGGUGGGGAUGACGUCAAGUCCUCAUGGCCCUUAUAGGUGGGGCUACACACGUCAUACAAUGGCUGGUACAAAGGGUUGCCAACCCGCGAGGGGGAGCCAAUCCCAUAAAGCCAGUCGUAGUCCGGAUCGUAGUCUGCAACUCGACUACGUGAAGUCGGAAUCGCUAGUAAUCGUGGAUCAGAAUGUCACGGUGAAUACGUUCCCGGGUCUU